GGGGACUUCAAGUUUGGGUUUUUUCCUGAAGGGCCCAGAUUGCCUCCCUCCCCCGCGGCCUCUGCAACGCUGCCUCGGACCGCGCAGUCGCCAGCCCUGCGUGCGGGGCCACGCCCGCAUUCUUCCAAAGGGGGCGGAGGGCGGCCCCUCCCGCAGAGAGGAGGGGCGUGGACAGUCGGGUCGCCUGCACAGAGGGCGACCGGUCCUUCCCAGGCAGCGUGAGGAGGAGGCGACUUUCCGUCAGAGCUCCAGGUGGGGGCGGGGAGGCCACCCAGGGGCACGCGCUGCCUCCCAGGACGGCCUCGCUGGGCGCAGAGGAGGGGUUGGUUCCUGAUGUCCCUUCCUGGGGGAGACUUUUUUAAAUGAAGCCUCAGGCGGGAGGUGUGGCUAGGUGGAGAGCUGGCCUGCGCAGCUUUCCAUCCCAGCAAGAAAAAACACUGCCCUACCACAAAACGCACCACUUUAGGCUUUUGGAGGCCUGCGAUUCCGUGUUAGAUACAUCCACGGUGUUGAACAGCCACCACUACCUCGGUCCCAAACGUUCCUCUCGCCCAGGGUUCGCCCACGGAGAAACCCGGGCCCAUGGGCAGCCGAUCCCCUGCCUCUUCACCUGGCCUCGGGCAGCGCUCACACAGCCUCUGCAGGGGCUUCUCCCCCACCCGCCAGGUGGCCCGAGCCUGCUGCCCUCCUUGUCUUGGCUGGGUAGUGGCUCACUCUGUGCCCAGAACUCCUUUCAUCAGUAGAUGGAAGGCCGGUGGCUUUCAGUGUCCUGGCUGGGCAGGGCCCACCCAGGCUCUCCUCUUUUGUCCACCCUUCUGAAAUCUCCCAGUAGACUUGGUGCUCCGUGUCCAUGGUUUUCUGGCUGAGUGACAACUUAAGGGAACCCAACUUUGGAAUAGCUAACUCAGGAUAUGUGCCACCAACCAGGUGGGCCUCUGUGUGGAGUCAGCAGCCCUGUGUCUCGCCUCCACUCUGGUUCACACGUGUCAAAUGAAGAGCUUGAGCCAGUGGCUUUUAGCAUCGCUUCCAGCACAGCCAUGAAUAAGCACCUGCACUUCACCUUUUGGGGGAAGAUAGGGAAAGACAAGCUGGAAAUUGUCACGGCUGGUGCCUCCGAGAGCUGAAACUGCUCAGCACAUCAUCUCCUGGAUCCAUCUGCAGAGGGCAGCCAUCAUAGAGAACUGUGUUGAAUGACACGGAAGCAACCAAGGGCCGAAAUGAAAAGAAAUGCGAUUGGGACCAGUGUGAAGGCUGGCAUUUGCUCCAGAACACCCCAGAACAGCUUCCAGCUGGGGCAGGUGGGUCCAGAGACCUUUUAUAAAAGCAUUUGGGUUACUCUGGGUCUCAUUAUGAAUCACCCUGGGACGGGCUGCCAACACAGCCAGAGGAAGUGGGAUCAUGUUAGCAGUAGUGGCUGAAGGAAGGGCAGUGACACUGGUGAGAAACCCCUAGUGUGACUUGAGAGGGAGGCCAUCGACACGAACAGGCCACGAAGCACUGCAGAACCACGCAGAGCAGGGAGGGCUCAGGGUGCGGGUCUGCAGAGCACAAGUGGUCACCUAAGGAGGGAGCGUGGGGAGCUGGCCACGACGGGGACCUGGAGGGUUGGCUGCGGUCACGGGGUGAGAAUAACUGCACAGCAACAAGGGUGGCCGGAAUGGGAAACUCCUGGGGGAGGGGCCCAGGCAUGGGCGCUGUUCUCACGGGCAGUGACUGGAGACCGGUCAAGACGUGGAGGAUCCUUCUGGAGGUGAAAUGAGUGGUGCCCAGAUGGGGUGGGGCAAGGACAGGGAGGGACCAGACACAGAGGAAUCCCAGUACCCGGAGUGUCAGCCCAAGGUGGCCGGCCAGCCUGGGAGUGGACUUUAUGCAAAUACACUGCUCUCCAGGUGCCCGGAACAGGGUGGACUGCCUUCUGAGGCAACUGCUAUCUCUGAAUCCACCUAAACCCUCAUUCCAAUCACAUGGGUGAU
rnacentral:lncRNA from 1 species